rnacentral:rRNA from 1 species
GCGCACUCUUCGGGGUGAGCGGCAGACGGUUGAGUAACGCGUUGGAAUCUACCCAAUCCUGCGGAAUAGCUCCGGGAAACUGGAAUUAAUACCGCAUACGCCCUGUGAAGGGGAAAGAUUUAUCGGGGUUGGAUGAUCCCGCGUCCGAUUAUCUAGUUGGUGGGGUAAAGGCCUACCAAGGCGACGAUCGGUAGCUGGUCUGAGAGGAUGAUCAGCCACACUGGGACUGAGACACGGUCCAGACUCCUACGGGAGGCAGCAGUGGGGAAUAUUGGACAAUGGGCGCAAGCCUGAUCCAGCCACGCCGCGUGAGUGAUGAAGGCCCUAGGGUUGUAAAGCUCUUUCGCCGGUGAAGAUUAUGACGGUAACCGGAGAAGAAGCCCCGGUUAACUUCUUGCCAUCAGCCGCGGUAUUACGAUGGGGGCUAGCGUUGUUCGGAAUUACUGGUCGUUAAGCGCACGUAUGCGGACAUUUAAUUCAGGGUUGAAAUCCCGGGGCUCAACCCCGGAACUGCCUUUGAUACUGGUUGUCUUGAUUGUGGAAGAGGUGAGUGGAAUUCCGAGUGUAUAGGUGAAUUUCUUAGAUAUU